rnacentral:miRNA from 1 species
UUUCCCGAAGACAGAAGUAAAU